GUGGGGAAUAUUGGGCAAUGGGGGAAACCCUGACCCAGCAACGCCGCGUGAAGGAAGAAGGCUUUCGGGUUGUAAACUUCUUUUAUGAGGGACGAAGAAGUGACGGUACCUCAUGAAUAAGCCACGGCUAACUACGUGCCAGCAGCCGCGGUAAUACGUAGGUGGCAAGCGUUGUCCGGAUUUACUGGGUGUAAAGGGCGCGUAGGCGGGAUAGCAAGUCAGGUGUGAAAUCCGGGGGCUUAACCCUCGAACUGCACUUGAAACUGUUAUUCUUGAGUGAUGGAGAGGCAAGCGGAAUUCCUAGUGUAGCGGUGAAAUGCGUAGAUAUUAGGAGGAACACCAGUGGCGAAGGCGGCUUGCUGGACAUUAACUGACGCUGAGGCGCGAAAGCGUGGGGAGCAAACAGGAUUAGAAACCCGUGUAGUCC
rnacentral:rRNA from 1 species